rnacentral:tRNA from 1 species
AGUAAAGUGGCUGAGUUAUAGGCGGUAGAUUGUAAAUCUAUAAACGAGUAAGACUCCUUUAUUA